UAUUUAUUUUCUCGAAUUUAGAGAGAUAAAAAAUUAUUAAAUUUUAUUGUGAAAUAAAUAUUUAUAAUAGUUUUUUUGUAAUGAAAUGUUAUUCGUUCUUAAAUAUAUCUAGUUUAUUUAGAAAUGAAUUUAAUUCAUAAAUUUUAAUUUUAAUUAGUUAAUUUAAUAAUUAAUUAAAUUUUAAUUUAAAUAAUUAAGGGGAUAAGCUUUUAAUUAAAUAUUUAUAAAUUUAAGUAUUAUAUAAAAAAAUAUAAGUUUAGAAUUGGCUAUUAUUAUAGUAUAUUAUAAUUAAUUUUUGAAUAAAUAUAAUUUGAUAUUAUUUUAAAUAUUUUAUAAAUAAAUAAUUUUUAAUUAUUAAAAAUUAGGUAUAAUGAUAAAAUUAGUAUAUAUAAUUGUUUAAAUAAUGAAUUUAUUUAGAUUAUUUAAAGGAAUUCGGCAAAAAUUUUAUUCGCCUGUUUAAUAAAAACAUGUCUUUUUGAUUUAAUUUAAAGUCUAGCCUGCUCAAUGAUAAUUUAAAUAGCCGCAGUAAUUUGACUGUGCAAAGGUAGCAUAAUCAUUAGUUUUUUAAUUAAAAGCUGGUAUGAAUGGUUGAACGAAAUAAAAUCUGUCUUUAUGUAAAUAAUAGAAUUUAAUUUUUAAGUUAAAAAGCUUAAAUUUUUAUAAAAGACGAGAAGACCCUUUAGAGCUUUAUUUUUUAUAUUUAUAAUAAUUUUUAAGAUUAAGUUUAUUUUAUAAAUUUAAAAAAUUUAAUUGGGGUAAUUGAAAGAUUAGAUAAAUUCUUUUUAUUAUUAAAUAUAAAUAUAUAAAUUUUUGAUCCAUUAUUAAUGAUUAUAAGAUUAAGUUACCUAAGGGAUAACAGCGUAAUUUUUUUGGAGAGUUCUUAUCGAUAAAAAAGUUUGCGACCUCGAUGUUGGAUUAAAGAUUAGUUUAAAUGCAGAAGUUAAAAUUUGGUC
rnacentral:rRNA from 1 species